AGUGAACGCUGGCGGUAGGCCUAACACAUGCAAGUCGAACGGCAGCACAGUAAGAGCUUGCUCUUACGGGUGGCGAGUGGCGGACGGGUGAGGAAUAUAUCGGAAUCUACUUUUUCGUGGGGGAUAACGUAGGGAAACUUACGCUAAUACCGCAUACGACCUACGGGUGAAAGCAGGGGAUCUUCGGACCUUGCGCGAUUGAAUGAGCCGAUGUCGGAUUAGCUAGUUGGCGGGGUAAAGGCCCACCAAGGCGACGAUCCGUAGCUGGUCUGAGAGGAUGAUCAGCCACACUGGAACUGAGACACGGUCCAGACUCCUACGGGAGGCAGCAGUGGGGAAUAUUGGACAGUGGGCGCAAGCCUGAUCCAGCCAUACCGAGUGGGUGAAGAAGGCCUUCGGGUUGUAAAGCCCUUUUGUUGGGAAAGAAAAGCAGCAGGUUAAUACCCCGCUGUUCUGACGGUACCCAAAGAAUAAGCACCGGCUAACUUCGUG
rnacentral:rRNA from 1 species